rnacentral:rRNA from 1 species
GACGAACGCUGGCAGCGUGCCUAAUACAUGCAAGUCGAACGAACUCUGGUAUUGAUUGGUGCUUGCAUCAUGAUUUACAUUUGAGUGAGUGGCGAACUGGUGAGUAACACGUGGGAAACCUGCCCAGAAGCGGGGGAUAACACCUGGAAACAGAUGCUAAUACCGCAUAACAACUUGGACCGCAUGGUCCGAGCUUGAAAGAUGGCUUCGGCUAUCACUUUUGGAUGGUCCCGCGGCGUAUUAGCUAGAUGGUGGGGUAACGGCUCACCAUGGCAAUGAUACGUAGCCGACCGGGGAGGGUAAUCGGCCACAUUGGGACUGAGACACGGCCCAAACUCCUACGGGAGGCAGCAGUAGGGAAUCUUCCACAAUGGACGAAAGUCUGAUGGAGCAACGCCGCGUGAGUGAAGAAGGGUUUCGGCUCGUAAAACUCUGUUGUUAAAAAAGAGCAUAUCUGAGAGUAACUGUUCAGGUAUUGACGGUAUUUAACCAGAAAGCCACGGCUAACUACGUGCCAGCCGCCGCCGUAA